ACACUGAUGGUGAAGUGGUUAUCAUGCUUGCCUUCCAUUCAACGCAUUGAAGCAAGCGGCAGGGGUUCGAUUCCCCUUCAGUGUA